GCACGUGUGGCCGAGUGGUUAAGGCGGCAGUCUCAAGAUCUGCUAUCGCGAGAUGCGUGGGUUCGAAUCCCAUCGCGUGCA
rnacentral:tRNA from 1 species